rnacentral:rRNA from 1 species
GGAACUGCUCUCAAAACUACAAGUCUAGAAUUCAGGAGAGGAUAGCGGAAUUCCCAGUGUAGCAGUGAAAUGCGUAGAUAUUGGGAGGAACACCAGUGGCGUAAGCGGCUAUCUGGACUGACAUUGACGCUGAGGCACGAAAAGCGUGGGGAUCAAACAGGAUUAGAUACCCUGGUAGUCCACGCUGUAAACGAUGUGUGCUUGUCGCUGGGGGGUUCACCCUUCGGUGACGCAGCUAACGCGUUAAGCACACCGCCUGGGAAGUACGGCCGCAAGGUUAAAACCCAAAGGAAUUGACGGGGACCCGCACAAGCGGUGGAGUAUGUGGUUUAAUUCGUCGCAACGCGAAGAACCUUACCAGGCCUCGACAUACCGAUUAAGAGAAGCAGAGAUGCAUCUCGUCAGUUCGGCUGGAUCGGAUACAGGUGCUGCAUGGCUGUCGUCAGCUCGUGUCGUGAGAUGUUGGGUUAAGUCCCGCAACGAGCGCAACCCCUUUUAUCAGUUGCCAGCACGUAAUGGUGGGAACUCUGAUGAUACUGCCGGUGAUAAGCCGGAGGAAGGCGGGGAUGACGUCAAGUCCUCAUGGCCCUUACGGCCUGGGCUACACACGUACUACAAUGGUGGUGACAAUGGGCAGCCAGACUGCAAAGUCGAGCAAAUCCCUAAAAGCCACCUCAGUUCAGAUUGCACUCUGCAACUCGAGUGCAUGAAGUUGGAAUCGCUAGUAAUCGUGGAUCAGCAUGCCACGGUGAAUACGUUCCCGGGUCUUGUACACACCGCCCGUCAAGCGAUGGGAGUUGGUUCCACCCGAAGCCGGGGCGCUAACCGCAAGGAAGCAGCCGACCACGGUGGGAUCAGCGACUGGCGCUAAGUCGUAACAAGGUAGCCGUAAAUCG